UACGUAGGGACCAAGCGUUGUUCGGAUUUACUGGGCGUAAAGGGCGCGUAGGCGGCCUUCUAAGUCAGACGUGAAAUCCCCAGGCUUAACUUGGGAACUGCGUCUGAUACUGGGAGGCUUGAGUGCGGGAGAGGGAUGUGGAAUUCCAGGUAUAGCGGUGAAAUGCGUAGAUAUCUGGAGGAACACCGAUGGCGAAGGCAGGUCACUGGGCCGCAACUGACGCUGAGGAGCGAAAGCAUGGGGAGCGAACAGG
rnacentral:rRNA from 1 species